AAAAGGCAGGCGGCAAAAUGCAUCGCAACAAAUACUGUCGUCGAGAAGUAAAGUCUGUUACUUAUUGCUUCACACAGCGGCUGCACCGUCAACAACUGUCCCUGUUGGACACAUCCACAGACCUGCAGAAACGUUUGAGAGGUCAGAGGUCAUAGGAUUCAUAAUCAAGUGCUACAUUCUCAGAGCCGCAGGUGAUGUUGAGGAAUCGUAUUUCAGUAAAAACUGUUGCACGAUUGAUGCAGUCAGUUGUCUCUUGUAUGUGAAUCUUUGGACGUUUUUUUCUUUGUCUUUGAUUUGUUUUUAUGCUUAAAGCUCUUAAUCUCCCCACUUUGGCAUCACAAUAUCGAUGCUUGGAUAAAUCAAUAACUGGCAGUAGAACAAUGCUCCACUCUGAUGAUAACGUGUUACUCGGGUCGCUCGGCGCUCUGCUCUCCGUGGAUCCGCGGGCGUGGACGUGUUACGCAUGAUCGUCAUGCAAUAAGUCGCUCCUCCUCUUUAGAAUCUGUAGUUUGUGCGUGAGCUGACGUCCAUGUUUAUGCAAACUGGCAAUAUCCCUUUUCCCUGUUGUGCUUUAGCGUCUGCUUCAGUAAAUCUAGAGGCCUGCGAUCAGCUGCCGUCAUGAUGAGAGGUAACAACUCUGAGUCCGUGCACCUGCGCUGUCUUCCUCGGAGAGGACUGCUGCUGAGUCACGGCGAGCAGGAAACGAUCCGCCGCGGACGUGGGAAGAUGUUCCCGGUUGUUCCUCUGAGCGGCAACAUCAAACCGGGAGGCUUCGUAACAGGAUUAGCUUUGUCAUCUGCACUUAUUCAUGGAGGAGCCCUGCACUGUAAUAAGGUGCAUUGAUUCAGUUACACACGUGCGCACACGCACACGCCUGCCUGUAACCAAACAUCACGGUCUAUUUAAAAAAGGCUGAAGCAACGGAUUCACCAGAUUAAAUGACCUCUGCCCCCGCUUUGUUUACCACUCUGUCAUCCACGUCGUGGAUCAAUAUUUGUAGUCUCUUCUUAAACCCUCGCGUUACGUUCUCUCAUCACCCCGUCGCCCUCGGACCGUAAUCCUAGCGUGGUCGAUACUUCACAGAGCCGCCGUCCCUUCUCACGCUCUCAUAUUUCACCCUGAGGCGACGUUCAAUGCAGCUGAAGUGGCCAUUAAAUGCAGUGAAAUGAGAGCUGUUCUAAAGGGACCCUGGUGGUCGGAAACAAUACCGCGUGUGUCCACAGGGGGCGCCAGGCACAACCCCUGAUUGCAGGCAAACACCUAAAUGGGAAUCUUCUUCACGUUUUUGUGCAGGGUAAAAUAAAGUGUAAUUAUACUGCAAAUAUCAUGUGUAUUAUUUCCUUUUAGAGACAGCGUUCAUCAAACUUGCUGAAUGAGUAACCGAGAUAGCGGAACGUCUGAUGCGAUGUGCACAGAUGUGGACAGCGUCCCUCUCUUGUGUGGAAGUACUGACGUACCUGCUGUCUCUUCACCCAACCUCUGCUUGACAAGGAGGGGGGAAGCAAUUAACAUCGCUGUCACUAUCCAUCUAUUGUGCUCUUUCCUAAUGGAAGAUGACAAAUUAUGGAGUGCAAUGCAGGAGGCCGUGUCCCACCUCCUACUCCCUCGUGUGUGUGUGUGUGUGUGUGUGUGUGUGUGUGUGUGUGUAGGUGGAUGACAGCGACAGAGAGAGAGAGAUGGAGAGAAUGGGGAAAAGUAGUUUCCUCAUUCACCCUGAAAGGCUAGAACUCAGAAACUCGAGGAAGUGACUUGAAGGUGCGAAGGAGGGAAAGAGAAACACAUCUGCUUUGACCUCACGUGACUCCAGAUGUCACCGGAAUCCCAUUCGGUGACUUUACCUCAGACGUGGGCAUGACGGGGCAUUACUGUCCAAACGGACAGCUGGAGUGACGCCACUGUGAAGUCUCUUCAGAUUCAUGCUUUGCUGCCGGGACAUUUCCAACCGCUUGACCCACGAGAACUGAUAGUAAACACUUUAUUUUAGCGAUUGUUCAGACUUAGACGGCGGUUUGCGUCUCGCUGGAGUUGAAUGCGGCAUCACUUUUUGGUCCCAAGGACGGCAGUCGUUUUUUUUGCAGGAUUUUGUGCAACAUAAAACAAACAUGAAAUAAAGGAUCCAGAGCGACAGACUCAGCAGCUCGGCGCCGGUGCACAACACAUAAAGCCUGCGCUGUCAUCGCCGCCACAUACAAGCAUUAAGCACGACCAGAGACCCACAAGAAGAUCAAGUGUUAGCUGCAGCCAGCAGACACAAUCAGAGGCUGCGUUGAACCUCUCAACCGAGCAGCAGCUCCUGCUCACCAUUCGUCUCCUUCUAACGGAUGUACGGGUAGAUGCCUGGAGGUCGACUCGAUGCGCCGGGACGGAUCACGGCUGCUCCGCCCGAUGGAACAUCAUGUCCUCCAAUGACAGCCGGCCGAGGAGAGGGAUGGAGGGCCGUGUUACUGCAAAGACGUGGACGUGGUUCCCUCAGUCUGCUAAUCUCACUUGUUCCUGUGGCGGGCGGAGAAAGGAGGAAGGUCCUUUUCCAGCAUCAGGUCACAUUCCUUUUAAUGCUCAGCUUCUGAGCUAUCAGAUGUGUUAAGAGGCAGACAGAUAAAGUUGUGUUGUUGUUUCCGGCUUGUAGACUCUCAUUUCAUCUUUGCCACAAUAGUUAUAAAGCUCAAUGUCAUAACGUGUCCAUAUAAUAUAACGAAGCACGCUAAAGCUUUUGGAGCAAAGCUUCAGGCGAUAAGCUGAAAAUGAUCUGGAUCUGGAAGCAAAGGACCGUUUGCGUUAUUUUUGCUCUGCACACUUUGGCAUUUGCAGGUUUGCAGACAAAAGGCAGCUUCUCCCAGCGGAUCACAGCGACGGUGUUUGAAGGCUUUGUGUGAAGUAUUAUGACGGCAUUAUAUCUGCACAUUGAGGCCGCUAUAAUAAACCUGACAUUUUAAGCAAAGCCACUGAGGACUGAUGUUAUUAGAAAAAAGCUGCACAUUUAUUUUCACCCCUUUGUGAGUGAUAUUUAAAUACCUAGAAGAUAAUAAGAAUUAGUUAUUGCCUCAGUUUCUGGGAACCUUUGAUACAAGAAAAGAAGUCCUAGAAUGAAGCGUGUCCGUGAGUUUGCGCGCAUCAUUCUCGGUGGUUUGUAAGUUGUAGCAAUAACAAGUAAUUACCUGCCUCUCAAAAGACGUUCCUCUGACGGUGUGUGAGUGUGUGUGAGGGGGAAGACGAGUGGAGUGUGUAAUUACAGCUAAACAAAGCGAUGCUAAUAACCUCCUUUGUAUUUCUGUUACCCCUGAAAUAAUGUUCCCACCCGGCGUAUAAUUAGAAAUCAAUUAAAGUCCAUCUCCCACAUCUAACGAAAGUACAAAAGAAAAGUGUAUUGUCUCAGUGUUUCUCCCCAAAGGUCACAAUAUAAGGACAUGUGCAAGGACAGGGACCCGUGUGAAGUCAUUAUUUGAACACUAAAGUGUUUAUUUCUGGAUUAGUUGAUUGUAAAUCACAACCGGCGCCGUACUUCAUGACGCACGCUCAAUGCCGGCAUUAGUCGUGCGUCCCGUGCGUUGCACAAUAAUGCCGAUUGAUCGUGUAGCACUUGAUCUUAACGCACGAGAUGAGAAGAUGUGAAACGGAGCAGCUUCUAACGCUCAUCUUGUGUGGGACUCGGUUCCCAUUUACUGAAAAGAGAGAAGAUCAUUGUAACGUCUGUAUAACACAUGUAAGUGGAAACAGAGCUCAUGUUACGUUAAUACUGAGACACGAGAGAAUUUGUGCCGAUUUUGUGCUCUGUGUGUGUGUGUGUGUGUGUGUGUGCAGGCAUGUCCUGAUAUGAAUAAUGUGUGUGUGUGUGUGUUUGGUUUUAUUCAUUUCAACCCUCGAAUUAAACAACAGCUGCCCGAUAGAAAUGCAAAUGAGUGAGAGGGACGUCCUCGCAGGCUUCCUUCCUCGCGCCCUGAGCUUCCUGUAAUGGUCGUUUGUGAGAGCGCCGCUCGUAAUUUGCCCCUCGGGCCUCUUGGGGAGUCGCUCACUCUCUCUGCAUUGAACACUUUUAGCCUCAAAGUUUGCCGCCGACUGGCUUCCCCGUGAAGGUUCGAACCAAAGACGAAGGAUUUCAUACGUAGGCGUCAUCGUUAGCUCACAACGGAAGAAAGAAAUGGAUUUAAUCCGUUUAAAUCUGCGAUCUACUAAAUAGUUUGAAAAAAUUAGAUCUGAUGAAGCCAAACCAGGUGGGACCUUAAAGGAACAUGUGACUCUGUCCUCUGUGGACAGGUGGGACUUUAAAGGAACAUGUGACUCUGUCCUCUGUGGACAGGUGGGACUUUAAAGGAACAUGUGACUCUGUCCUCUAUGGACAGGUGGGACUUGGUGUGCGGUGCUCAAGCAACAGGCCGUAAUACCUC
ensembl:lncRNA